rnacentral:rRNA from 1 species
GUCGGUAUCGGCCGGGUUUCACACAGGUGUUGCAUGGCUGUCGUCAGCUCGUGUCGUGAGAUGUUGGGUUAAGUCCCGCAACGAGCGCAACCCUCAUCCUUAGUUACCAUCAGGUAAUGCUGGGGACUUUAAGGAAACUGCCAGUGAUAAACUGGAGGAAGGUGGGGAUGAUGUCAAGUCAUCAUGGCCCUUAUGGAGUGGGCUACACACGUGCUACAAUGGUGGCUACAAUGGGCUGCAAAGUCGCGAGGCUAAGCUAAUCCCUUAAAAGCCAUCUCAGUUCGAAUUGUACUCUGCAACUCGAGUGCAUGAAGUUGGAAUCGCUAGUAAUCGUGGAUCAGCACGCCACGGUGAAAUACGUUCUCGGGUCUUGUACACACUGCCCGUCACGCCAUGG